CAGUCGCCACGGUAAUACGGAGGGUGCAAGCGUUAUCCGGAUUCACUGGGUUUAAAGGGUGCGUAGGCGGGCAGUUAAGUCAGUGGUGAAAUCUUCGAGCUUGACUCGGAAACUGCCGUUGAUACUAUCUGUCUUGAAUAACGUUGAGGUGAGCGGAAUAUGUCAUGUAGCGGUGAAAUGCUUAGAUAUGACAUAGAACACCGAUUGCGAAGGCAGCUCACUAAACGCUCAUUGACGCUGAGGCACGAAAGCGUGGGGAUCAAACAGGAUUAGAGACCCCCGUAGUCCCUGUCUCUUAUAC
rnacentral:rRNA from 1 species